rnacentral:rRNA from 1 species
AGAGUUUGAUCCUGGCUCAGGAUGAACGCUAGCUACAGGCUUAACACAUGCAAGUCGAGGGGAAACGACAUCGAAAGCUUGCUUUUGAUGGGCGUCGACCGGCGCACGGGUGAGUAACGCGUAUCCAACCUGCCCAUCACUUGGGGAUAACCUUGCGAAAGUAAGACUAAUACCCAAUGAUAUCUCUAGAAGACAUCUGAAAGAGAUUAAAGAUUUAUCGGUGAUGGAUGGGGAUGCGUCUGAUUAGCUUGGUUGGCGGGGUAACGCCACCAAGGCUACGAUCAGUAGGGGUUCUGGAGAGGAAGGUCCCCCANAUUGGAACUGAGACACGGUCCAAACUCCUACGGGAGGCA